CUCUUUCUUGUCUCGGAUGGAAUUAAUAAACGAUGCCUGAUAUUAAAAUGCUUUCGACAGAACCAGGAAUCGAUCCUGGCUUCACACACUUGCAACACUUCGUCCUUACCACUAGACCAUCGCGCCUACACUUGCUUUAAUUCCUUUUUUAUUCUACUUAACUCUUUCUCGUCUCGGGUGGAAUUAAAAAACGGUGCCUGAUAUUAAAAUGCUUUCGACAGAACCAGGAAUCGAUCCUGCCUUAGCACAAUUGCAACACUUCGUCUUUACCACUACACCAUCGCGCCUACACUUGCUUUAACUCCUUUUUUAUUCUACUUAACUCUUUCUCGUCUCGAGUGGAAUUAAUUAACAACGAUGCCUG